AGUCCCAUUGAAUCCCAUGUUAAAAUGCCCAAUUUUAGAGUAGAAUUAAACCUGUUUACAGCAUUAUUCAAACUUUGGUUUUAGUCUCAAUCGCUAUGUUCUUCCUUCAUUAAAACUCUGAGGGGGUGAACUUUUUCGUAACUACCUCUUUAUCGCUAUAAUAAGCGAUAUAGUGGUUUGAAAUUUACGUGACGUCACAGUGAGCUGCGCCCUCCCUUCUCCUUACUUUUUCCUGUGUCAUUGAACACAACUCGAGACUUUCGAAACCUCCCACUCAGUAUCGGAUGAAUAACACAGUUUGAUGUUUUGCUUGUUCUGCUGACGGACACGUUAAAGACGUCUGCGCUCCCGUUUCUGUGCAUGUCCAGCAUGAGACAACUGGAAUUCAACCACAUUGAACACCGACUUCAGGGACAGACGAGCCUGAAGGACACAGCUGUGAUGACCAUGUUCUGUCUCUUAUGGCAAAGCAGAAAUAUAAAACACUGGGUUCUUAUCUAAAGUGUAUCAAAUCAGAUCUCCACCAUGUUGCUGCUGAGGACAUCAGGUGCUGCAGUUCUUCAUCUAUGAAGAGAAAAAACGCACUGUUAAAGAAUGUUUUGUGUUGUGUAUAAAGCACAACAGAUUUCUGAUAGAACUGUUGUACUGUGGUCUUGGUUUAUAUCCUCAUGGUGAAAUGUACAUAUUUUAAGUCCCUUCUGAUAAAAGUGCUGAAAGAAAUACAACAUUGUACAAAUACAUAAAAUGUCUUUCUACCUCAUCAGUACUAUUCAAGGUGAUAAUCUCCCACAGACCUAUUGAUAACAGUCCAAAUCAAGUCUUUCCACUUCUCUCAGUGUGAAAACAUAAUUCUAUAAUUAAUUUGAGAACUGUUUACAACACUGAUGUGUGGAGAUUAAAAUCAUACCUAAACUGUCUAAUUCACUGUAAAACUCCAUGACAUUCGCAGGCCAUCUGUAGUUAAGGGAGCAACGCAUGGAAUGAUGUGUAGAUUACUAGUUUGAUGAUGCAUGAGGAGAGGCGGUGGUCGAGUGGCAGAAACUUGGACUAUGGGCAGAGAAGGUCUCUGGUUCGUCUUUGGUUCGACUCCAUGGAGAGACAACAAAAGUCGAACCUGGAUUGAUCUGUCCAAAAAUCCAAGAGUCUCCCUACCCUCUCUAGUGCCCAUGAGCAAGGCACCUCACUCCCCCAACAUCUGCUCCCCCGAGCGCCGUACAUGGUCGCUCACUGCUCUGUGUGUCCUGCACCAGAUGGGUAAAAAGCAGCGAUUAAAUUUCCCUACCUGCAUGAGUGUGCCUUUGCAUGUCUGUGCAUGUGUUUGGGAUGAAUAAAUGGAUUUUAAUCUUAA